CAACCCGUAAUUAACGGCUUCUAAUUACGCGAUUAUCAAACGUUUAAGGCGAUAAUAAAUAGUGUUUAAGGCACUAACUUAAUUAGGCUUUUGGAAUGCCUAGGAACGUCUAUUUGACCUUACAGUGCGCAUACGGUGAUUUUCGGGAAACUUGCUGAGCGUCAAACGCUAACUAACUGACACCGUACAAAAUAUUGACAACGCCGACUAAUAUUAAAUUUUUACGAUAUAUUUAGCUCCGCAAUUUAAUUUCAAUAAGUGUAGUCGAAACCAGAUCGAAAAAAAAAACGGAUUUAACGGCGAACGAUGCAAUUUUUCGCGAUUUUUACCGUUAACGACGAACGAACGCGCGAACGCAAUUACUGACACUAAAUUUCGUUUCUUGAUUUUGUAUCAAUAAUUUACGACAUUUUUUUUUAGAAAAACGGGUGUUGAAAACGGGUUUCGUAGGAAUUACGGGCCACACAAGACGCGAUAUUGGGCUUGUGGGCCUUGGGCCCAAGCCCAAAGCCCACCAACAUAACCCUAGUAUAAAUUAGAAGUGAACCCUAGUUCCACUUCAUACUCAUCAGCCGCUAUAUGUUGCCUUUCCCUCAUUCUCUCAAAACCCUAUCUCCAUCUUCUUAAGACAAACAAAAUUUGCAUCAUUUCUGCUUCCUCCCUCUCGACUUAUACAUCAGCCACACACAAAGCCCUAACCCCAUCUCAAAUUCUUCCUCAAAGAUGCAUCAGACUCAAACAAUCACCCUCUCAUCUCUCUCACCCGUCCAGUAAACACGAAACGGCGCUGGUUAUCGGUCGAAUCUCCGGUCGAUCGACUUCACCGGCAGGACACCCCCACACGCACCCCCUGUUAAUUAAGUCUGGCAGCAAUCGCAGCGCCGCCGUUGCGGCGGCGGUGGUGGAGGUGGCGUCUUGAUUCUGCUCCGACAAACCUACGACAAUGACUCCGCAUAAUCUUGUUGAUAUCUCAAACAGAGAACAAAGGGAGAAGGAGAUCGAGAGAGAGAGAGAGAGAACUGAGAAGACGAGAAAAGUGAAUGAGUGAAACGAGAGAAAUGGUAACGGCAACUUACCGGCAACGGGCUGUCUCUCGGACGGCGGCAAAGAGCGACGACGGCCGUGGUGGUGUUCAUCAGGUGAGAUUUUAUUCGGAUUCAGGGCAGCCACGGUUCGAUUAUGGUUCAGUUCUGCUGAGGUGUUUCGGCUCGUAUGCGGAUUGAUUGGUUGUUUCGGGUCAAGUAUGGUUCGGGUUCAGAUUCACUCUUGGUUGGUUUGAGAUACAAGAAGAUGAGAGUGGUAACUCAGUUCAGUUUUGGUUUGUUUCGGGUCAACAAGCCAACAACAGCCCACGGACCCGGUUCGGGUCAACAGUAAAAGCACGGUCGGUUUGGGUCACACGGUUCACACAUCGGUUCAGUUUCACAGCACCGGUCGAUAGGUCAGCCCCGGUUCGAUACCAACUCAGUUUUGUUCAUUUAAUUCUAAUUCCAUUUCUGAUGUUAAUUUCUUUGUUGAAAUGGAAGUUAGUAAUGGUGGUGUUUCACGUUUCGCCUCGGGUACCGGGAUGACUCAGUCAACACCCGGUCAACUCAGUUCAACAACAGUCAACGGCCGGUCAACACGAAGGACCCGGAAUGUCGUAGUUGCACGCUAGCUACUUCACGUUUUUGGAACGACACUUCGGAAACACACUAAGCUAGCUUUGCACAGGGAUAUCCAGGUUACAUUGUCAAAACUACGGAACGGUUGGAAUAGAAGAACCCACGGGAUUUCGAGUAAUUAGCGGGCGUUCAUUUUUUAGAAGUCUUAGCUUUUUGCUUCCGCUGUGCAAUGAAGAUACCGGUCCAGUCACACCAGCUCUGAUAUUUCGGGGUGUGACAGAUUGGUAUCAGAGCUAUAGGUUACAGCGAAUUAGGUUUCUGCAGAGAUACCUAGGCUUUAACCUCACUAUUCUUUGGGGACUUAGAUAUCAAGAAUUGAACACAUACAGAACGCCUAAGACUCGAAUAUGGGUUCCAACCGUUGCCAAGAACAGUGAGUCAACUGUUUUGAUUUUAAACAUGCACAAGAGUUGUGUUUGAUACACGAUACACGAAGCAAAUUCAUACAUUAAGCAAAACUUUGAGAGUUUUGGAUAACAUGCACUAAGGACCUUUGGAAAGCUUAUAUCGAAACUAAUUAAAGGUCCUCACUUAGAAACCGUGACUAACUACUCGGGCAAACGCCAUUAUAUUAUGUCGUCUAUGCUAUCCUACGUACCCGAGCAGGUAACCUAAGCGGAACGAAACGCCAGUGCACACGAAUACAUGAAAACUCAAAUUAUACGUUAACGGAUGUCGGAGCACAUCACAUUCUACGCAGAACGGAACGCUAGUGCGCACGUAUACAUGAAACUUAAACUAUAUGUCAGUGGACGUCAGAGAAUAUCACACACGACUUUCGAGACAAGGCCUUGGGAAAACAUGAUUGGGCACGACAACAAUGAUGCUAAUUCUGUCAGCGAGGGAAUUACUUAUUGAAAUGCGGCAAUUUACCACGUGAUCUUGCAAAUGGCACGAGUCAUGCUGAGGUACGUUAAAACAAGAUUUCACAACAGUCGAUAUUUAGUCUGAAGAGUCUCACGAUUGUUGGCACUGCAAAAGAAAUCACACGUCUUCGCAUUCCCCCUACUUCAUUUAUGACAAUUAUGCUAUGUACGACAUUCCAUGGUAAUGUCAUCUAACAACCGGUCAUUACACGAAAUUCCAGGUAAAGUCCUUAAAAUUUCUUUUAUUGAAUUUCCGACUUUUGCAUCUAGUGAGUAGAUUUUUUUUUUUUUUACAUCUCUACUUCUCCCUAAUGGUCAGUGCAUCAUGAAGAUUUUAUUUCAUGAUAGCGAAACACUCAUAUUUCUUGACAAAUUCAUACGCUACACAUGCAUUAUUUGUUACGCAUGUGGUUUCACUUCGAAUGGUUGUUUUGUCAACAUUUCAUAAAUCAUUUCGCUAUACUAAAUCUUUGCAUUGUAUUCUAGACGACCCGUAUUAUUGCAAAAUGUUGACUCCUUGUUAUCGAGUCAACGGAUUUCUUCGAAAACUCAUUUUCUUUUGAGUGGCAUACAUGGUUUUUCGUUGUGGCCAUGUCGAAACUUUUUAUUGAUACAUGAAUUCAUUGUUGGUUAAUGUUUCAACCAAGUUCAAUUGAUUGAACUUGCUCGUAAUACGUAUGCAAUUUAAGAUUCCAUAUGAUGGAUUGAGGCCAUCAUAUUCGAAAUAAUCCCAACAAGCACUUCAUUUGUUUUGAACUAUAACAUGCUUGUUUGGUCUUUGACUUUAUUGAAUCGUUUCUUUGAUCACGAUCACCUUGUGGUGGCGUUUUCACAAAUUCGAAGCUUGCGCUAAUCCCGUUUACACAGUACGGAUUUAAUUAUUUAUCUAUUUGUUUAUUGAUAUUAAAUCCGCUUUGUUGAUUUAUCAUAUUAAAGCAAUCUUAAUACAAUCGUGUGUUAAGAUAAUGGUACACAAAUUCAUUUCGUAUUUCGGUGUACCUCUUAACGGUUCUUUCAGCAUCGAUCGAACAUUUUGUUAUAUUCAUUGGUUUUUCAUUUUCGAUCAAAAACAUUAUUUCCUUGUUUCAUUUUCAAUUGAAAAUCCCAUGAGAUUUGUUUGAACCGAAUAUUCAGAUCUACUUCAUUGAAACUUUCAUCAGAUUUCAAACACGGUGAACUUGUUCAGUCACCGCUAUUAUUGAAUUAUUUCACUCACUACGACACCUUGUGGCGUCGGUAUAAACUUGUAGCUUGUGCUAAUCAUGAUCGAGCGUUCAUGCAAAACAUGGUGAUGCUUGUUCAGUCACCGCUAUUAUUGAAUUAUUUCACUCACUACGACACCUUGUGGCGUCGGUAUAAACUUGUAGCUUGUGCUAAUCACGAUCAACCGUUUCAUGCAAAACUAUAUAUAUUCUUUUCUUUUGACACAUCAUUUAAGUAGUCUUAAUGCAACUAUGUAUUACGACGAUGAUACACCAGGUUCGUUUGUAUUUCAUUUCGGUGUAUCCUUGCAACUCAACAAUGUCAACACCAUGAUUUUAUCUUAUUCAUUUAUUGGUUCGAUAGUUGACAAAUCAUUUUUAUGAUUCUAUUUAUUUGAGUUUCAUCUAUACAACAACCAACACAAGGUUCCGUUGGUAGUAUAUCUUUUGUUUCAAAAAAAAUUGAUUUGCAUAUUGUGAACGUUCAUUUGGAAUUCUAUUGGUAGAAGCUCAUCUCUUGUUGGACCCCCGUAAACUUAGUCACAUUGGUGAUAGUAUCACUAUGCUUCGUUCACUUGACAUCGAUUUCUGGAACAAACUCAUUUGAACCGUUGGGUUCUUAUUGAUGCAAAAUGUCCUUACAAUUAUGCAAUCUGAAUAAGUCUUGAUUCAACUACGUGGUCAUUAACUUUGGCAUUGUUCGGACUUACCUAGGAACGACACAACUCCGAGGAGAUAACAUAGUCUAAAUUUCGAGGACGAAAUUUAUGUAACAGGGGGAGAAUGUGACAACCCGUAAUUAACGGCUUCUAAUUACGCGAUUAUCAAACGUUUAAGGCGAUAAUAAAUAGUGUUUAAGGCACUAACUUAAUUAGGCUUUUGGAAUGCCUAGGAACGUCUAUUUGACCUUACAGUGCGCAUACGGUGAUUUUCGGGAAACUUGCUGAGCGUCAAACGCUAACUAACUGACACCGUACAAAAUAUUGACAACGCCGACUAAUAUUAAAUUUUUACGAUAUAUUUAGCUCCGCAAUUUAAUUUCAAUAAGUGUAGUCGAAACCAGAUCGAAAAAAAAAACGGAUUUAACGGCGAACGAUGCAAUUUUUCGCGAUUUUUACCGUUAACGACGAACGAACGCGCGAACGCAAUUACUGACACUAAAUUUCGUUUCUUGAUUUUGUAUCAAUAAUUUACGACAUUUUUUUUUAGAAAAACGGGUGUUGAAAACGGGUUUCGUAGGAAUUACGGGCCACACAAGACGCGAUAUUGGGCUUGUGGGCCUUGGGCCCAAGCCCAAAGCCCACCAACAUAACCCUAGUAUAAAUUAGAAGUGAACCCUAGUUCCACUUCAUACUCAUCAGCCGCUAUAUGUUGCCUUUCCCUCAUUCUCUCAAAACCCUAUCUCCAUCUUCUUAAGACAAACAAAAUUUGCAUCAUUUCUGCUUCCUCCCUCUCGACUUAUACAUCAGCCACACACAAAGCCCUAACCCCAUCUCAAAUUCUUCCUCAAAGAUGCAUCAGACUCAAACAAUCACCCUCUCAUCUCUCUCACCCGUCCAGUAAACACGAAACGGCGCUGGUUAUCGGUCGAAUCUCCGGUCGAUCGACUUCACCGGCAGGACACCCCCACACGCACCCCCUGUUAAUUAAGUCUGGCAGCAAUCGCAGCGCCGCCGUUGCGGCGACGGUGGUGGAGGUGGCGUCUUGAUUCUGCUCCGACAAACCUACGACAAUGACUCCGGUAAGCUUGUGUCUCCCAGUCUUCCUCAUCUCAGUUCCGUUUAAGUUCUCCAUCUACAAACAUGAUGAUAUUUUUUUAGCAUAAUCUUGUUGAUAUCUCAAACAGAGAACAAAGGGAGAAGGAGAUCGAGAGAGAGAGAGAGAGAGAGAGAAAACUGAGAAGACGAGAAAAGUGAAUGAGUGAAACGAGAGAAAUGGUAACGGCAACUUACCGGCAACGGGCUGUCUCUCGGACGGCGGCAAAGAGCGACGACGGCCGUGGUGGUGUUCAUCAGGUGAGAUUUUAUUCGGAUUCAGGGCAGCCACGGUUCGAUUAUGGUUCAGUUCUGCUGAGGUGUUUCGGCUCGUAUGCGGAUUGAUUGGUUGUUUCGGGUCAAGUAUGGUUCGGGUUCAGAUUCACUCUUGGUUGGUUUGAGAUACAAGAAGAUGAGAGUGGUAACUCAGUUCAGUUUUGGUUUGUUUCGGGUCAACAAGCGAACAACAGCCCACGGACCCGGUUCGGGUCAACAGUAAAAGCACGGUCGGUUUGGGUCACACGGUUCACACAUCGGUUCAGUUUCACAGCACCGGUCGAUAGGUCAGCCCCGGUUCGAUACCAACUCAGUUUUGUUCAUUUAAUUCUAAUUCCAUUUCUGAUGUUAAUUUCUUUGUUGAAAUGGAAGUUAGUAAUGGUGGUGUUUCACGUUUCGCCUCGGGUACCGGGAUGACUCAGUCAACACCCGGUCAACUCAGUUCAACAACAGUCAACGGCCGGUCAACACGAAGGACCCGGAAUGUCGUAGUUGCACGCUAGCUACUUCACGUUUUUGGAACGACACUUCGGAAACACACUAAGCUAGCUUUGCACAGGGAUAUCCAGGUUACAUUGUCAAAACUACGGAACGGUUGGAAUAGAAGAACCCACGGGAUUUCGAGUAAUUAGCGGGCGUUCAUUUUUUAGAAGUCUUAGCUUUUUGCUUCCGCUGUGCAAUGAAGAUACCGGUCCAGUCACGCCAGCUCUGAUAUUUCGGGGUGUGACAAUAGACGCUUUGGAUAAGAUUCAUAGAGUUUUCUUUUGGGGUGGCUCGGAAGAGAAAGCCAAAAUGAACUGGGUAGCGUGAGAUAGAACAAUCGCACCUAUUGAAUAUGGGGGCUUGGGAUUCGGUUCGCUUAGGGACACUAAUUUAGCUAUGUUAGCAAAGUGGUGGUGGAGGUUUAAAUCGGAGAAAACGGGUUUUUGGCAAAGGGUUGUUUGGGCUAUCCAUCAUAAUUCAAGGAAAUGGAAUGACAUCCCGGUAAAGAUUUCAGUUGCAGGACCUUGGAGAAGUAUAUAUAGUAUUUGGCAGCCUUUAUUAGCUACGGGUAUUGACAUUAAAAACGCUUUUUCAGCAAUGGUGGGAAAUGGUAAAGAUAUACAGAUUUGGUUAGAUAUCUGGAUCGAUCCAGAACCUUUAUACUUAAAGUUCCCGGCCCUGUUUAAGGAGUAGAGAUUCAAAGAAUGCUUGGUUGCGGAUAGAUGGGUCAGCAGCGAUACCGGCCCAGCUUGGAAUUGGGCCUGGUCUCGGCCAGUCCUCCGCCCAGAUAUACUCGAUCAGUUGCAGCAAUUGUUGUCUCUUAUAAAUUGCAGCCCCAUGUCUACAGCUUCGGACAAGUGGAAAUGGAGAUUUGAAGUGGAUGGUGUAUUCUCUGUUGCAAGCAUUAAAAACAUUUUAUGCUCAGCGGGUCGUGUCCGUCCUGAAAACGUCUUCGAAUGGAACAACUGGGUCCCAAAGAAGGUUUGUAUUGUAGCCUGGAGGGUAGAGAUGGAGAGACUACCGACUAAGAGUGCGUUGGCUAGACGGAAUGUACCGAUUCCGAACCAAUCAUGCGUUUUUUGUGGCGUGUAUGUAGAAUCAUGCGAUCACGUAUUUGUGUCGUGUCACUUUGCACAAAUGGUAUGGCAGAAUCUGGCGGGAUGGCUUAGGAUGCAACCGAUUAUAGCCUUCGGAAUCCAGGAUCUUCUCACCCUUCACGGCUCAUCCUCGGGCUCAAGGAGAAAGAAAGCUAUUCUUGCUAUAAUUCUGGUGGCCUUUUGGUGUAUAUGGAAGACGAGGAACGAAAUAGUAUUUCGGCAAGUGGUCCCAAACUUUGCGAGAACUCUUGAUGAGAUAAAAUCGAUGGCAUUUUUAUGGAUCAAGAAUCGGUCAAAAGCAAAUUCGUCGACAUGGGAGGAAUGGAGUCGUUUUAAUUUAUAAGUUAUGUAAUGAUGUAAUAGUAUUUGGUUUGGAGUCUUGGUGUAAACCGUUGUAUAUUUGGCGUGUAACAUUUUGUUACUAUGAAUAAAAUUUUUCUGUCCGCCGUUAAAAAAAAAAAAAAAAAAAAAAAAAAAGAUCGGAUUAUCUUUU